GGACUUGAAAUCCUAAAUUCAAGCAAUCCUCCUGCCUCAACCUCGAGUAGCUGGGACUACAGGUAUACGCCUCCACGUUUGGCUCUUCCUUCCUUUUAGUAGGGGCUGCUGUCAUGCAAGGAGGUCUGGCAGUGGAGGAAGAAGACAUGAGCCUUGGGCCAGACUCUUACUGGAUUCCCACCCCACCUGCCCCGUCUUCAGCAGACAAGCUGGUACCCAGCACAAAGGCUCCAGCUGCUGAGCUGUGUGUGGGAGCCUGGUCUCUGGGUGCCCAGAAUGAAGGGUCAGACCCAGGUCACUGCCUGACUCUUUCUUUCAAGGACCGAAGUAAGAACUACAGGCCUAACAGUAACAUCCCUGGCUAUUUGUAGAAGUCCGCUUGGUCGGUCCAUGCUCUAUAACAUGAAUUUCUCAUACAACCCAUUUUUAGAUGGGGAAACAAGAGCUCAGAGAGGCUAGGUAACUUGUUCAAGAUCACACAGCUCUGAGUGCAAGUGUUCAAACAUAGUCCCCACUUUCCAUCCGUCUCCAAAUCCUGUGCAGUUUCUGGAAUAUUCUGCUGUCACUGUGCCUUGCACAAAUCCAGGUUUUGAUAAAUUCCUGGAUAAUAAAAGGCAGACAUGAGUCAACAUAUAACCAGCUCUUUC
rnacentral:lncRNA from 1 species